CUUUAGUGGAAGCCCAUGAGCCGCCUGGGGUUUUGUCGCCCUCUAACGCUUGGAGGUGCGAAAAGCGGCAAGGACGAUUAGUCCUUCCGCCAUGUGAGGACACAGCAUUUGUCCUCUCCAGAGGACACAUUAUAAGGCACCAACUUGAAGCAGAGAGAGCAUCCCUUACCAGACACCAAACCUACAUGUGCCGUGAUUGUGGACUUCCCAGGUUCCAGAAUUGUGAGAAAUAAAAUUCUAUUAUUUAUAAAUUA